GUCAGCGGCCAUAGGAAGGGGGAAACACCCGUUCCCAUCUCGAACACGGAAGUUAAGCCCCUUCACGACGUUGCAAGUACUGUGCUUUGCACGGGAACGCGCGUUGCUGCUGACA
rnacentral:rRNA from 1 species